rnacentral:rRNA from 1 species
UACGUAGGGCGCAAGCGUUGUCCGGAAUUAUUGGGCGUAAAGAGCUCGUAGGCGGCUUGUCACGUCGGGUGUGAAAGCCCGGGGCUUAACCCCGGGUCUGCAUUCGAUACGGGCAGGCUAGAGUGUGGUAGGGGAGAUCGGAAUUCCUGGUGUAGCGGUGAAAUGCGCAGAUAUCAGGAGGAACACCGGUGGCGAAGGCGGAUCUCUGGGCCAUUACUGACGCUGAGGAGCGAAAGCUAGGGGAGCGAACAGG